rnacentral:hammerhead_ribozyme from 1 species
AGCCGAAACGGCCUGCGGGCCGUCUGCCGGGAGUGGCCGCCCGGCACUGAUGAUGGCAGGCCAGA